GGGCUGAUGGGGUGGGGGCGUGGGGUGGAGUGGAGGUGCUGAAGGCAGAGGCUGCCACAUCCUACUUAUGUCUUUAAAGGACAGGGCAGACGUGAACACCUCCAGCCUGUCCCACCAGAGCCCUGAUGCAGAAGGGAGACCCAAGCCAGCCCAUACAGGCACAGUCAACACAAAGAGAGCCAAGGUGGAAGUUGGUGCAGAGCUCAGCUGGCAGGCAGAGGAGAGCCAGCAGGUUCAAAAGUUUUGAGGGGAUCAUGAGCCACUUGGGAGGCUGAGCAGGAGAGCACUGAACCCUGCAGGUGGAGGAUGGGUCCUACUUCUGAGAUUCCUACAGAACAGCAAAGACUGCCAGUCCUGUCCUGUCACCAAAGCAGAGACAGAAGCCCACAAGGAUGCACGUGUGUGUAACCACAACUCCACUUCUCCCAUGCAUGGACACCUAGGCCAUCUGUCCUAUAAUAAGCCCUCAGUAGGGGCUGGAGAGAUGGCUCAGGGGUUAAGAGCACUGACUGCUCUCCAAGAGGUCCUGAGUUCAAUUCCCAGCAACCACAUGGUGGCUCACAACCAUCUGUAAUGGGCAUCCCAUGCCCUCUUCUGCUGUGUCUGAAGAUAGCAACAGUGUACCCACAUCCAUGAAACAAAUAAAUAAAUCUUUAAAAAAAAAAAAAAAA